GAUGAACGCUGGCGGCGUGCCUAAUACAUGCAAGUCGAGCGAACGGACGAGAAGCUUGCUUCUCUGAUGUUAGCGGCGGACGGGUGAGUAACACGUGGAUAACCUACCUAUAAGACUGGGAUAACUUCGGGAAACCGGAGCUAAUACCGGAUGAUAUUUUGAACCGCAUGGUUCAAAAGUGAAAGACGGUCUUGCUGUCACUUAUAGAUGGAUCCGCGCUGCAUUAGCUAGUUGGUAAGGUAACGGCUUACCAAGGCAACGAUGCAUAGCCGACCUGAGAGGGUGAUCGGCCACACUGGAACUGAGACACGGUCCAGACUCCUACGGGAGGCAGCAGUAGGGAAUCUUCCGCAAUGGGCGAAAGCCUGACGGAGCAACGCCGCGUGAGUGAUGAAGGUCUUCGGAUCGUAAAACUCUGUUAUUAGGGAGGAACAUAUGUGUAAGUAACUGUGCACAUCUUGACGGCACCUAAUCAGAAAGCCACGGCUAACUACGUG
rnacentral:rRNA from 1 species